rnacentral:rRNA from 1 species
UACGUAGGGUGCGAGCGUUGUCCGGAAUUAUUGGGCGUAAAGAGCUUGUAGGCGGUUUGUCGCGUCUGCCGUGAAAAUCCGGGGCUCAACCCCGGACUUGCGGUGGGUACGGGCAGACUAGAGUGUGGUAGGGGAGACUGGAAUUCCUGGUGUAGCGGUGAAAUGCGCAGAUAUCAGGAAGAACACCCGUGGCGAAGGCGGCUCUCUGGGACGUGACUGACGCUGAGACGCGAAAGCGUGGGGAGCGAACAGG